rnacentral:rRNA from 1 species
AAAACCUAGUGGNUAAUACACGGUUGCAACAGUCUCCCGCACGCACGGCUUUGUCAGCAGUCCCACUGCCUGGCUCUGGCCUAGUGGUUGAUUGCGCCCAGCUGCUGAGAAGACCAGCGCCUGGAACAUGGCAGUGUGUUGUGGCUGACUCAGGCUGGUCCCCAGUGGACAGUCGCGCUGGCAGAGUGGUGACCCCGUCAUAGCUUGCUUGAUCACACGAACUUCUGACCUAUCAGCCUCGACUGUGGUGCAGCGGACCACAGUGGCAGUGACGGGUAACAGAGAAUCAGGGUUCGAUUCUGGAGAGGGAGCCUGAGAGACGGCUACCACUACCAAGGUGGGCAGCAGGCACGCAAAUUGCCCAAUGCCAAGUCAUGCCGGUGAGGCAGCAACGAACUGCAGCAAUCCCGCCUGUCCUUUGUGACCAGUGGGACUUGGAAUGGAUGCAAUCCAAACACAGUGAUGAGUAUCAACUGGAGGGCAAGUCUGGUGCCAGCAGCUGCGGUAAUUCCAGCUCCAAGAGUGUAUACUAACAUUGCUGCUGUUAAAACACUUGUAGUCGGAUGCUGGAUGCAGGUCUGCCAGGUGGCCGGUGGGACGCUGGUGUCCAGAGUAUCAUGAGUGCUCGGGCGUCGGCUGACUGCUGGAACUCAACCCCUGGCAGUAUGUUCCUGUAUCCGUUCUCAUGGUGGUGCGAACAGCUCCUGCUCCAAGUCACCUUCAGUGGUGAUCGAUGCGAUUCCAUACCCAAGUCAUGUGUGCUUGACAUCCGGGGGCACGGCCCCGUGCUGUGCGCUUCCCCAGUCCAUCACCGGAGUCCACCGCCUAUGACACCGUGGAAAACUCAGUGUGCCCAACGCAUCCAUCAUUGGCUGGAUGCCCGUCCAUGGAAUGUCAAAGCAUCGACCUGAUGUGGCCUGUGGAGUUGUGCUGGCCUUGGUGCUCAUCCAGGGGAAUCCGGUGCUGUUCCCUGGCCGUGGUUGGUCCCGCUCCGGCGUCUCCGGGCGUUGGUCUGGGUCCCUUCCUACGGCCUGUGGUUUCAGUACCCACCGGCUAUGAUGGGACUGCUCGUGGUGAAGGCUAUUGCAGCGCCAGAGGUGAAAUUCUUAGACCGCUGCAAGAGCAACUGCAGCGAAGGCGCUUUGCAAGUGCGUGUUCGUCGAUCAAGAAUGAGAGUGUGGGGAGCGAAGAUGAUCAGACACCGUCGUAGUCCACUACUGUGAACCAUGCCAGCUCGGCCUUGAGGGUGCAAGAAUCCGAGACACCCCCAGUGCCAUGCCCCCUGCAACGAGAAAUCCAAGCCUUUGGGUUCAGGGGGGAGUACUGUCGCAAGGCUGAAACUUAAAGGAAUUGACGGAAUGGCACCACCAGGCGUGGAGUAUGCGGCUUAAUUUGACUCAACACGGGGAAUGUUACCAGGUCAGGACGUUGCCGGGAUGGACAGAUUGAGAGCUCUUUCUUGAUUCUUCGGAUGGUGGUGCAUGGCCGCUCCUGAUUGGUGGAGUGUUUUGUCUGGUUGAUUCCNAUAACGAGUGAGAUCUCUACCUUUCCAAUAGCCUCGGACACGCAUUUGGUAGAGUCUGGCAUAGUCCAUCCCUCCGGACUUACGGGUCCGUGGGGGAGGCUACCCGCCACUCGAGUGAUCCGAGCCAAGCUUCUCUGAGGUGCUGUGCACGCUGCCAAGUGCAUGCAUGCUAGAGCCAACAGCAGGUCUGUGAUGCUCCCAGAUGUCCUGGGCCGCACGCGCACUACAUUGGUCCAGUGAAUGUGUUGCUCCACUCACUNGUUGAGACCUGCCCGGAAGUGGGUGGGAAACCCCUGGAGCCUGGACCGUACUGGGGAUAGAUGAUUGCAACUGUCUGCCUUGAACGAGGAAUGCCUAGUAUGCGUGAGUCAUCAGCUCAC